rnacentral:rRNA from 1 species
CUGAGACACGGACCCAGACUCCUACGGGAGGCAGCAGUAAGGAAUAUUGGUCAAUGGAGGCAACUCUGAACCCAGCCAUGCCGCGUGCAGGAAGACAGCCCUCUGGGUCGUAAACUGCUUUUAUUCGGGAAUAAACCUAUUUACGUGUAGAUAGCUGAAUGUACCGAAGGAAUAAGGAUCGGCUAACUCCGUGCCAGCAGCCGCGGUAAUACGGAGGAUCCAAGCGUUAUCCGGAUUUAUUGGGUUUAAAGGGUGCGUAGGCGGCUUAUUAAGUCAGGGGUGAAAGACGGUGGCUCAACCAUCGCAGUGCCCUUGAUACUGAUGAGCUUGAAUACACUAGAGGUAGGCGGAAUGUGACAAGUAGCGGUGAAAUACAUAGAUAUGUCACAGAACACCGAUUGCGAAGGCAGCUUACUAUGGUGUGAUUGACGCUGAGGCACGAAAGCGUGGGGAUCAAACAGGAUUAGAUACCCUGGUAGUCCACGCCCUAAACGAUGAAUACUCGCUGUUAGCGAUACACAGUUAGCGGCUAAGCGAAAGCGUUAAGUAUUCCACCUGGGGAGUACGCCCGCAAGGGUGAAACUCAAAGGAAUUGACGGGGGCCCGCACAAGCGGAGGAGCAUGUGGUUUAAUUCGAUGAUACGCGAGGAACCUUACCCGGGCUUGAAAGUUAGUGAAUGAUUUAGAGAUAGAUCAGUCCGCAAGGACACGAAACUAGGUGCUGCAUGGCUGUCGUCAGCUC